GCAUUAAUGGGGUAGUGGUAACCUGGGUCGUUGCCAUCCGGACGUUGAGCUUUGGCCUAUGUCUCGACCCGCCGGGGGUUCGAUUCCCUCUUAAUGCA